CCCCUAGAUGUUCUGGGCCGCACGCGCGCUACACUGAACAGUUCAACAAGUCUUAACCUUGGCCGAUAGGUCUGGGUAAUCUUUGAACGCUGUUCGUGAUUGGGAUAGACCUUUGCAAUUAUGGGUCUUCAACGAGGAAUUCCUAGUAAACGCAAGUCAUCAGCUUGCAUUGAUUACGUCCCUGCCCUUUGUACACACCGCCCGUCGCACCUACCGAUUGAAUGGUCCGGUGAAAUCUUGGGAUUUGCAUGUUGUUGAUUGAUUUCAUGGCGUGCGAAGAACUUGAGUAAACCUUACCGUUUAGAGGAAGGUGAAGUCGUAACA
rnacentral:rRNA from 1 species